UACGUAGGGUGCGAGCGUUAUUCGGAAUUACUGGGCGUAAAGCGUGCGUAGGCGGUUCGUUAAGUCAGCUGUGAAAGCCCCGGGCUCAACCUGGGAACUGCGGUUGAAACUGGCGAACUAGAAUCUGGCAGAGGGGGGUGGAAUUCCACGUGUAGCAGUGAAAUGCGUAGAGAUGUGGAGGAACACCGAUGGCGAAGGCAGCCCCCUGGGCUGAGAUUGACGCUCAGGCACGAAAGCGUGGGGAGCAAACAGG
rnacentral:rRNA from 1 species